ACAUCGGUGACAGUGGUGCAUGGUUGUCGUCAGCUCGUGUCGUGAGAUGUUGGGUUAAGUCCCGCAACGAGCGCAACCCCUAUUGUUAGUUGCCAUCAUUCAGUUGGGCACUCUAGCGAGACUGCCGGUAAUAAACCGGAGGAAGGUGGGGAUGACGUCAAAUCAUCAUGCCCCUUAUGACCUGGGCUACACACGUGCUACAAUGGUUGGUACAACGAGUUGCGAGUCGGUGACGGCGAGCUAAUCUCUUAAAGCCAAUCUCAGUUCGGAUUGUAGGCUGCAACUCGCCUACAUGAAGUCGGAAUCGCUAGUAAUCGCGGAUCAGCACGCCGCGGUGAAUACGUUCCCGGGCCUU
rnacentral:rRNA from 1 species